AUACGGAGGGUGCAAGCGUUAUUCGGAAUCACUGGGCGUAAAGCGCGCGCAGGCGGCUUGGUAAGUUGGAUGUGAAAGCCUACGGCUCAACCGUAGAACUGCAUCCAAAACUGUCAAGCUAGAGUGUGGGAGAGGAAGAUGGAAUUAGUUGUGUAGGGGUAAAAUCCGUAGAGAUAACUAGGAAUACCAAAAGCGAAGGCAAUCUUCUGGAACACUACUGACGCUGAGGCGCGAAAGCGUGGGGAGCAAACAGGAUUAGAUACCCUAGUAGUCC
rnacentral:rRNA from 1 species